rnacentral:rRNA from 1 species
GACGAACGCUGGCGGCGUGCUUAACACAUGCAAGUCGAACGAAGAGCGAUGGAAGCUUGCUUCUAUCAAUCUUAGUGGCGAACGGGUGAGUAACGCGUAAUCGACCUGCCCUUCAGAGGGGGACAACAGUUGGAAACGACUGCUAAUACCGCAUACGAUCUAAUCUCGGCAUCGAGGAUAGAUGAAAGGUGGCCUCUAUUUAUAAGCUAUCACUGAAGGAGGGGAUUGCGUCUGAUUAGCUAGUUGGAGGGGUAACGGCCCACCAAGGCGAUGAUCAGUAGCCGGUCUGAGAGGAUGAACGGCCACAUUGGGACUGAGACACGGCCCAGACUCCUACGGGAGGCAGCAGUGGGGAAUCUUACGCAAUGGACGAAAGUCUGACGGAGCAACGCCGCGUGAGUGAUGACGGCCUUCGGGUUGUAAAGCUCUGUUAAUCGGGACGAAAGGCCUUCUG